CGAAUGGAUCUUUUAAGAUCCAUUCGAAAAGUAAUUCAAGCUUAUU
rfam:Strigamia maritima strain Brora ctg7180001232768, whole genome shotgun sequence.